UUCCUUUUCUCCAAUUCAGUUUCACUUUUACCGUCUUUGUGUCGCAGCUUCUUUUAUCCGUCUGAAGUGAGACCAGCGGCUUCAACAGUUCAGCAACUUGGAGCUUCACGGACCCAAACGGUUCUGUUGUCCGACCGGCAGAGAGCGAAGACGAACCCGGCAGCAGAACCCUGAACACGGUGAAGGUGAACGGUGUGUGUGAGCUGGUGUGAGUUCAGCAGCAUGGAUCAGUGUGAGGAUCCUCAGAGCUCUCUGUGUGGGGAACAGAAGAAC